UACAGAGGUGGCAAGCGUUGUUCGGAAUUACUGGGCGUAAAGGGCGCGUAGGUGGCCUUGUUAGUCAGACGUGAAAUCCCCAAGCUUAACUUGGGAACUGCGUCUGAUACUGCAGGGCUUGAGUUCGGGAGAGGGAUGUGGAAUUCCAGGUGUAGCGGUGAAAUGCGUAGAUAUCGGAAGGAACAUCAGUGGCGAAAGCGACUUCCUGGACCAGUACCGACGUUCAGGCACGAAAGCGUGGGGAGCAAACAGG
rnacentral:rRNA from 1 species